AGUGGCGGACGGGUGAGUAACGCGUAAGAAUCUAACUUCAGGACGGGGACAACAGUGGGAAACGACUGCUAAUACCCGAUGUGCCGCGAGGUGAAACCUAAUUGGCCUGAAGAAGAGCUUGCGUCUGAUUAGCUAGUUGGUGGGGUAAGAGCCUACCAAGGCGACGAUCAGUAGCUGGUCUGAGAGGAUGAGCAGCCACACUGGGACUGAGACACGGCCCAGACUCCUACGGGAGGCAGCAGUGGGGAAUUUUCCGCAAUGGGCGAAAGCCUGACGGAGCAACGCCGCGUGAGGGAGGAAGGUCUUUGGAUUGUAAACCUCUUUUCUCAAGGAAGAAGUUCUGACGGUACUUGAGGAAUCAGCCUCGGCUAACUCCGUGCCAGCAGCCGCGGUAAUACGGGGGAGGCAAGCGUUAUCCGGAAUUAUUGGGCGUAAAGCGUCCGCAGGUGGUCAGCCAAGUCUGCCGUCAAAUCAGGUUGCUUAACGACCUAAAGGCGGUGGAAACUGGCAGACUAGAGAGCAGUAGGGGUAGCAGGAAUUCCCAGUGUAGCGGUGAAAUGCGUAGAGAUUGGGAAGAACAUCGGUGGCGAAAGCGUGCUACUGGGCUGUAUCUGACACUCAGGGACGAAAGCUAGGGGAGCGAAAGGGAUUAGAUAUCCCUGUAGUCCUAGCCGUAAACGAUGGAUACUAGGCGUGGCUU
rnacentral:rRNA from 1 species